rnacentral:rRNA from 1 species
AGUCGGACGGGAUUGAGGAGCUUGCUUCUCAUGAGAGUGGCGCACGGGUGCGUAACACGUAUGUAACCUACCUUGUUCAGGGGGAUAGCCUCUCGAAAGAGAGAUUAACACCGCAUAAAAUCAAUUUAUGGCAUCAUAGAAUGAUCAAAUAUUUAUAGGAACAAGAUGGGCAUGCGGAACAUUAGCUAGUUGGUAAGGUAACGGCUUACCAAGGCUACGAUGUUUAGGGGAUCUGAGAGGAUGACCCCCCACACUGGUACUGAGACACGGACCAGACUCCUACGGGAGGCAGCAGUAAGGAAUAUUGGUCAAUGGACGCAAGUCUGAACCAGCCAUGCCGCGUGCAGGAGGACGGCCCUACGGGUUGUAAACUGCUUUUGUACCGGAAUAAACCUUUUCACGUGUGAGAAGCUGAAUGUACGGUAAGAAUAAGGAUCGGCUAACUCCGUGCCAGCAGCCGCGGUAAUACGGAGGAUCCAAGCGUUAUCCGGAUUUAUUGGGUUUAAAGGGUGCGUAGGUGGCCUAUUAAGUCAGGGGUGAAAGACGGUAGCUUAACUAUCGCAGUGCCUUUGAUACUGAUGGGCUUGAAUACACUUGAGGUAGGCGGAAUGUGACAAGUAGCGGUGAAAUGCAUAGAUAUGUCACAGAACACCAAUUGCGAAGGCAGCUUACUAAAGUGUUAUUGACACUGAGGCACGAAAGCGUGGGGAUCAAACAGGAUUAGAUACCCUGGUAGUCCACGCCCUAAACGAUGAAUACUCGAUGUUGGCGAUAUACGGUCAGCGUCUAAGCGAAAGCGUUAAGUAUUCCACCUGGGGAGUACGCCCGCAAGGGUGAAACUCAAAGGAAUUGACGGGGGCCCGCACAAGCGGA